UACGAAGGGGGCUAGCGUUGCUCGGAAUCACUGGGCGUAAAGGGUGCGUAGGCGGGUCUUUAAGUCAGGGGUGAAAUCUUGGAGCUCAACUCCAGAACUGCCUUUGAUACUGAAGAUCUUGAGUUCGGGAGAGGUGAGUGGAACUGCGAGUGUAGAGGUGAAAUUCGUAGAUAUUCGCAAGAACACCAGUGGCGAAGGCGGCUCACUGGCCCGAUACUGACGCUGAGGCACGAAAGCGUGGGGAGCAAACAGG
rnacentral:rRNA from 1 species